GUGGGGAAUAUUGGACAAUGGGCGAAAGCCUGAUCCAGCCAUGCCGCGUGUGUGAAGAAGGUCUUCGGAUUGUAAAGCACUUUAAGUUGGGAGGAAGGGCAGUAAGUUAAUACCUUGCUGUUUUGACGUUACCGACAGAAUAAGCACCGGCUAACUUCGUGCCAGCAGCCGCGGUAAUACGAAGGGUGCAAGCGUUAAUCGGAAUUACUGGGCGUAAAGUGCGCGUAGGUGGUUUUGUAAGUUGGAGGUGAAAUCCCCGGGCUCAACCUGGGAACUGCCUCCAAAACUGCAUGACUAGAGUACGGUAGAGGGUAGUGGAAUUUCCUGUGUAGCGGUGAAAUGCGUAGAUAUAGGAAGGAACACCAGUGGCGAAGGCGACUACCUGGACUGAUACUGACACUGAGGUGCGAAAGCGUGGGGAGCAAACAGGAUUAGAAACCCGUGUAGUCC
rnacentral:rRNA from 1 species